ACUAUUCUUGUGUUCUACUUGUAAGUCCGUUAUCACAUAUAUGAUUUGCAAAUUUUUCUCUUCAUCCUUUUCCCUUUCAUUGUCUUAACAGUGUGUUUCAAAGAGAAGUUUGUUUUUUUUUUUUUCAUUUGAUGAAGUCCACUUCAUUAAUUCCUUCUUUUACAGAUUGUGGUUCUUUUGAUGUAUCUGUGAAAACUUUGCCUAUCCAAAGGUCACAAAGACUUUUUCAAAUUUAAAUCUGUUUAAAGUUUUGUAAACAGCACACGAUAUAGAUCAAAGUUUUUAUUUAAAAAAUGUGUCUAUUCCUAUGUUUAUCUGGUAAUUUCAGAACUAUUUUUGUAAAGACUAUCUUUUCUCUACUUAAUUACCUUUGGAAAUUUGUAGAAUACAAGUGGUCUAUAUUUUUUUGUGGGUCAAUUUUUUGGUAUUCAUUUCUCUUUCAGAUUUUUCUCUCACACAAAUUUCACCCUCUGUUGAUUACUUAAGCUUUAUAAUAAAUCUAGAAAUUAGGCUGUGUUAGUCCUUUAACAGUGUUCUUUUAUGAAGUUGGUUCUUCUAGGUCCUUUGAAUUUCUAUAGAAAUUUUAAAAUCAGUUUGUCAAUGUCUAAAAAAAAAUCCUGUUGGGAUUUUGAUUAGGAUUCUGUUGAAUCUAUAGGUAAAUUUGAGGAUAAUUGACAUAUUAACAAUAGGAAGUAUUCUGACCACUGAAAAAGGUGCAGCUGAACAAUGUUUUCUACCAUUACUUGCAGAAUUCUAGUCUAAUGAGGAGAAAACAUCUAACAAAUCCAAGUCCGGGGACAUUCUACAAAAUUCUCAAGUACUCCUCCAAACCAUGGGGUUAUGGGAAACAAGUAAAGGGAUAAUGAAGUCAUGAUAGAAGAGUAAUGAAGAUACAAAGUUUGGUGAGUACCAACUAGGAAUGAGAGCAACUUACUUGUCCAAAGAGCCCUUCUUGGGUUAAAGAAAACUGACAUCACUAUAGAGUACAAAGAAAUUACAGCUUGCCUGUUCAGUCAACAAGCAACAACUGCCUUAGUAUGAAGUGUUACUCAUACUAUUCAGAAAUGAAUAAUGCAGCUUACAAGCAAAACCAGCACCAAAGAGCUAAUAAAUAAAUGUUCAAGGAAGUCAAAAUGCUCUGAGCAGAGCAGCAUGUAAUGAAUAAGCAAACAAGAAAAUGAAAACAAACAAUGAAAAUCAAUGUGAUGAAGUGCAUUGGUGUAAUGGAGCCUAAGUAGUCCCAGUUCUGACAUCUUUGUGUGCCUCUGACUGCUCUUAGUUACCUACAACGUUUACUGCAGGCUUAGCUCAGGAUCCCGUUUU